rnacentral:rRNA from 1 species
UAAGGAAUAUUGGUCAAUGGACGCAAGUCUGAACCAGCCAUGCCGCGUGAAGGAUGAAGGUCCUCUGGAUUGUAAACUUCUUUUAUUUGGGAAGAAACCCAUUUUUUCUAGAGUGGUUGACGGUACCAGAUGAAUAAGCACCGGCUAACUCCGUGCCAGCAGCCGCGGUAAUACGGAGGGUGCAAGCGUUAUCCGGAUUCACUGGGUUUAAAGGGUGCGUAGGUGGGCAGGUAAGUCAGUGGUGAAAUCUCCGGGCUUAACCCGGAAACUGCCAUUGAUACUAUCUGUCUUGAAUACCGUGGAGGUGAGCGGAAUAUGUCAUGUAGCGGUGAAAUGCUUAGAUAUGACAUAGAACACCAAUUGCGAAGGCAGCUCACUACGCGAAUAUUGACACUGAGGC